rnacentral:piRNA from 1 species
UAAAUUGUUUUGUAAAUUCAUGACU